UGGGGAAUUUUGCACAAUGGGGGAAACCCUGAUGCAGCGACGCCGCGUGAUUUAGAAGGCCUUCGGGUUGUAAAAAUCUUUUCUAUGGGAAGAAAAUGACAGUACCAUAGGAAUAAAGACUGGCUAAUUACGUGCCAGCAGCCGCGGUAAUACGUAAGGUCCGAGCGUUGUCCGGAAUCAUUGGGCGUAAAGGGUACGUAGGCGGGUAAGCAAGUUAGAAGUGAAAUCCUGUAGCUCAACUACAGUAAGCUUUUAAAACUGCUCAUCUUGAGAUAUGGAAGGGAAAGUGGAAUUCCUAGUGUAGCGGUGAAAUGCGCAGAUAUUAGGAGGAAUACCGGUGGCGAAGGCGACUUUCUGGCCAUAAUCUGACGCUGAGGUACGAAAGCGUGGGUAGCAAACAGG
rnacentral:rRNA from 1 species